UGGUUCUGGCAUCGAUGAAGAACGCAGCGAAAUGCGAUAAGUAAUGUGAAUUGCAGAAUUCAGUGAAUCAUCGAAUCUUUGAACGCACAUUGCGCCUGCUAGCAUUCUGGCAGGCAUGCCUGUUCGAGCGUCAUUUCAACCCUCAAGCCUUUAUGGUUUGGUGUUGAGGUUCUAUAAUUUUAAUAGGCCUCUAAAUCUAUUGGCGGAACGUCAAAAACUCCCAAGUGUAGUAAAUUUUCUUUACUUGAGGUAAUUUUUGAUGAUACUUGCCGUAAAACUCUGGUUGACUCUUUUGAGUCCCUAUUUUUACAAGGUUGACCUCGGAUCAGGUAGGAAUACCCGCUGA
rnacentral:misc_RNA from 1 species